rnacentral:rRNA from 6 species
UAAGUCUCCUGAAGGAACGUUGAAGACGACGACGUUGAUAGGCCGGGUGUGUAAGCGCAGCGAUGCGUUGAGCUAACCGGUACUAAUGAACCGUGAGGCUUAACCUUACAACGCCGAAG